GAUGAACGCUGGCGGCGCGCCUAACACAUGCAAGUCGAACGGUUAAAGCACCUUUUAGGUGUGUAUAAAGUGGCGAACGGCUGAGUAACACGUGGGCAACCUGCCCUCCUCUUGGGGAUAGCCUCGGGAAACCGAGGAUAAUACCCGAUACUUCAAUGUGGCCGCAUGGCGACAUUGAGAAAGCUUUUGCGGAGAAGGAUGGGCCCGCGGCCUGUUAGCUUGUUGGUGGGGUAGAGGCCUACCAAGGCAAUGAUGGGUAGCUGGGUUGAGAGACCGACCAGCCAGAUUGGGACUGAGACACGGCCCAGACUCCUACGGGAGGCAGCAGUGGGGAAUCUUGCACAAUGGGCGAAAGCCUGAUGCAGCGACGCCGCGUGCGGGACGAAGGCCUUCGGGUUGUAAACCGCUUUCAGCAGGGACGAGGCGAUAAGUGACGGACCUGCAGAAGAGCCC
rnacentral:rRNA from 2 species